rnacentral:rRNA from 1 species
GACGAACGCUGGCGGCGUGCCUAAUACAUGCAAGUCGAGCGGACGGAUGGGAGCUUGCUCCCAGACCGUCAGCGGCGGACGGGUGAGUAACACGUGGGCAACCUGCCUGUAAGACUGGGAUAACUCCGGGAAACCGGGGCUAAUACCGGAUAACUCUUUCCCUCACAUGAGGGAAAGCUGAAAGAUGGCAUCUCGCUAUCACUUACAGAUGGGCCCGCGGCGCAUUAGCUAGUUGGUGAGGUAACGGCUCACCAAGGCGACGAUGCGUAGCCGACCUGAGAGGGUGAUCGGCCACACUGGGACUGAGACACAGCCCAGACUCCUACGGGAGGCAGCAGUAGGGAAUCUUCCGCAAUGGACGAAAGUCUGACGGAACAACGCCGCGUGAGUGAUGAAGGUUUUCGGAUCGUAAAACUCUGUUGUCAGGGAAGAACAAGUACCGGAGUAACUGCCGGUACCUUGACGGUACCUGACCAGAAAGCCACGGCUAACUACGUG